rnacentral:lncRNA from 1 species
ACCCAACUCACCCUCAUUUUAGAUGUAAUUUUCUCUCAAGGCUGAUUUCCCAUUACUUUUAUUGGACUGCUAUUAUUCCAGGGUGUAGAAGAGAUUGAGAAGAGUUUAGAGAUGGAUUAGAAAUGGAUACUGAGAUGAAGAAUUCCUAUUAAAUGGAUUCUACGAAUAAAGCUGUUGCAUAAUGGAAAGAAUGUUCACGCUGUGAUUGUCACAAUCCCCAGACAUGUGGGAGUCUUGAUCUUUCCAGGUUGAUCAUCUAAUUUGAUUUGCUGAGAGAGUCCUGGAUUUAUAUCUACACAUCUUGUAUCUCAGAAAGGUUUCCAGUCAAGGAAACUUGAGGAUUGUUUUCCACUCUAGCUGCAAAGGGAGAAAUUGAUUCAUUUUGGCUUUAACUCUGGAACUACUGCAGUCUCCUGCUAAAGCUAAUUUCACUGUGCUCCUGGGUAUAAUCAUCUCAUGAAAGGCAUGCUCUUUUGUCCACUUUCAACUUGAGGAAAUUUUGCUGCAGAGAAAGGAGAUGCAUGAAGGGCUUCUUAGAAACUGCAGGCCGCUUCAGGAAUGGUGGCUCCUAUGUCCACUUUUCAGCUGUAACAUUGGGAAUCCUGGCUAGAGUACCUGAGGAUUCAUCUGAACUCCAUGGAAUCUGGAAGCCUGAUCAACAGACCAGUAAAUACCUAUGGCAUAGCUUGCUCAGGGGAGUCACCUCAGUAUUUAGGGCCACAGAGAAGCUGUAA